CUGCUUCGGCAGCAGAUAUACUAAAAUUGGAACCACACAGAGAAAAUUAGCAUGACCCCUGUGCAAGGAUGACAUGCAAAUUUGUGAAGCGCUCCACAUUAAA
rnacentral:snRNA from 1 species